rnacentral:rRNA from 1 species
GGAAUAUUGGACAAUGGGCGAAAGCCUGAUCCAGCAAUGCCGCGUGUGUGAAGAAGGCCUGCGGGUUGUAAAGCACUUUUGCGGGGGAAGCGGGGCCGGGGCGCUACUACCGCCUUGGUUUGACGGUACCCUGCGAAUAAGCACCGGCUAACUUCGUGCCCGCAGCCGCGGUAAUACGAAGGGUGCAAGCGUUAAUCGGAAUUACUGGGCGUAAAGCGCGCGUAGGCGGUUUAUUAAGUCAGAUGUGAAAUCCCCGGGCUCAACCUGGGAAUGGCAUUUGAGACUGGUAGGCUAGAGUGUGGUAGAGGUGAGUGGAAUUUCAGGUGUAGCGGUGAAAUGCGUAGAGAUCUGAAGGAACAUCAGUGGCGAAGGCGACUCACUGGGCCAUUACUGACGCUGAGGUGCGAAAGCGUGGGUAGCAAA